UUCUUCAGUGAGAUCCUCUUCUUCUGGAAGCUGGUUUCACAUGGUGGCUUAGAUUUUUCCAUCUUUGUAUCUAGCACCAUUUGAAAUCAGUGUUUUAGGAGUAAGAAUUGCAGCACAGCAGAGG
rnacentral:pre_miRNA from 17 species